GACGAACGCUGGCGGCGUGCUUAACACAUGCAAGUCGAACGGUAAGGCCCUUCGGGGUACACGAGUGGCGAACGGGUGAGUAACACGUGGGUGAUCUGCCCUGCACUUCGGGAUAAGCCUGGGAAACUGGGUCUAAUACCGGAUAGGACCACUGCCUGCAUGGGUGGUGGUGGAAAGCUUUUGCGGUGUGGGAUGGGCCCGCGGCCUAUCAGCUUGUUGGUGGGGUGAUGGCCUACCAAGGCGACGACGGGUAGCCGGCCUGAGAGGGUGACUGGCCACACUGGGACUGAGAUACGGCCCAGACUCCUACGGGAGGCAGCAGUGGGGAAUAUUGCACAAUGGGCGCAAGCCUGAUGCAGCGACGCCGCGUGAGGGAUGACGGCCUUCGGGUUGUAAACCUCUUUCAGCACCGACGAAGCGCAAGUGACGGUAGGUGCAGAAGAAGGACCGGCCAACUACGUGCCAGCAGCAGCCGCCG
rnacentral:rRNA from 1 species